CCUACGGGAGGCAGCAGUGGGGAAUAUUGCGCAAUGGGCGAAAGCCUGACGCAGCGACGCCGCGUGAGGGAUGAAGGUCUUCGGAUCGUAAACCUCUGUCAGCAGGGAAGAACGGUCACUGUGCUAAUCAGCAGUGAAUUGACGGUACCUGCAAAGGAAGCACAGGCUAACUCCGUGCCAGCAGCCGCGGUAAUACGGAGGGUACGAGCGUUAAUCGGAAUUACUGGGCGUAAGGCGAUCGUAGGCGGUAUGUCAAGUCAAGGGUGAAAUCCCCGCGCUCAACGUGGGAACUGCCUUUGAAACUGGCAGACUGGAGUGUGUGAGAGGAUAGUGGAAUUCCAGGUGUAGGAGUGAAAUCCGUAGAUAUCUGGAGGAACAUCAGUGGCGAAGGCGACUAUCUGGCACAUAACUGACGCUGAGGAGCGAAAGCGUGGGUAGCAAACAGGAUUAGAUACCCCAGUAGUC
rnacentral:rRNA from 1 species